CCGACCUUAGCUCAGUUGGUAGAGCGGAGGACAGUAGAAUCCUUAGGUCACAGGUUCGAAUCCGGUAGGUCGGA
rnacentral:tRNA from 1 species